CAAACUUGGAGAAGGCAGUGGAAACAAGACUCCAGUCCUUGGCAUCUUUUCCCAAGUCUGUGAUUUGCAUGACAAAUACCAGCAAAAAAUGCCAUGAGCACUUGUAUGAAAUGAGAAUGUCUUUAACAGAAGUUACAGUGCUGCUAUGGAGAAAAGCUAUGGAAAAC
rnacentral:lncRNA from 12 species